UCUUGCUGUCCCCACGUUGCUCCUGCCUCAUGGCAUCAAUGGCACUGAACCUCAUCCUCGGUGAGUGACCAUGGGGUUGUGUUGCCAUGGGGGUUGGUAGCCCUGUGUGGGACCAGGACCGUGUCCCUUGCAGGUUGGUGGCUGGUGGCAGUGAGCAGGGCACAGCAAUUGCCCCGACCCUCCCUGUUGCUGCACCCCAGCCAGGGGGUGUCCCUGGGGGACACUGUCACCCUGCGCUGCCACCUGCCCCAGCCAGCUACCAGGGUCGAGCUGUAUCGGGAUGGACAGUGGAGAUCCAGAAAGGAAAUGGACCAGGAGCGGGACGUGGCUGAGUUCUCCUUGGCUGGAAUAAAGAAGAAAGAUUCGGGGACAUAUCAGUGCCAGUACCAGGGGUUGGCACCUGCAGGGACAUCGGAGAAGAGUGACCCCGUGAAGCUGGUGGUAACAGAUAACAGCUAUCCCCCACCUGGCAUUUCCCUGAGCCCCAAAGAACAUGUGGAGAUAGGGACCAAUGUCACCAUCCAGUGCUCAAACCAGGAAUAUGGGGCCGCCUUCCUCCUGCACAAGGACGGGCACUCAGCCCCUAUCCAGCACCAGGAACCCGAUUAUUGGGGCACUGCCACCUUCACCCUCUUUGGGGUGACCCCAGCUGACUCCGGCACCUAUAGGUGCUCCUACCGCAUCAGAAGCUGCUGCCUUCUGUUCUCACCCCUUGGGGAUAAUGUGACCCUGGAAGUGAUUCCCAGACCUGCACCCACAGGUGACAAUGGGGGUCCCAGCAGGAACCUGGUGGCAGUAGUGGUGGGGCGCUGGGUUGCUGCCAUUGUCUUCAUCAUCAUCCUCACUGUCUCUGUCCUCCUCGUUGCCCAGAGAAGACGAAUGCAGACAGAUGAGAGUCCUGGUGCCACCCCCUGAAGCCCCGAGGUCGUGUAAUUGCAGGUGUCCCCCGGCGACAUCGAGGGUCUGACCUACGUCCAGCUGCAAGCUGUGACCCCCAGCACUCACCCCCCCGCCUCUUCUACCACCCUGAACCCCCCAUUAUCUACGCCGAGGUGGGCACGCGGGGACCCCGCUGAUGCCCCCAGAUGUGUACGCAAACACGGGUGUGUUGUGUGCACACAUGGACUUCAAGGGUGCACAGUGCCAGUGUGCUCGGUGUGCUCACCAUCACGUGUGAAUUACAGCCAUGUACCUGUGCAUGUGAACACGUGGAUGUGUAUUAAACGGGUGUGCACCAUCCCAUGUGCACAUCAGGUGU
rnacentral:lncRNA from 7 species